AUGUCCUCUAAAACUGCAACUGACAUGAGGUGGCAUGACGAACAACGGACCAAAGAUGGUUUGAUUAGGUGCUCAGCGGAUGCUAUUUUCUGGAAGGAUUUUGAUUCCAAACAUCCACUAAUUGGUGAUGAUAGUCGAAAUUUUAGAUUGGCUGCAACAACUGAUGGCUUUAUUCCAUUUAGGUCAACAAGGAGUGAAGGGGAACGCGACAGAAAACAAAAAAUUUCCGACCUACGCACCAGCCCAGGACCACUAUGGAGACUGCAUACAUGGUUUGAUCUUUUUCGUUACCGACUCGUAACGCAGCGGGAAGUACAGUCGAUGACGAUCGGCGGUGCAGAUCCCCGCAGCUAG
rnacentral:rRNA from 1 species